rnacentral:lncRNA from 1 species
AAAGCCUGGGAGUUGCUAUUAUUGUUGUGUCCAUCGGUAUCUUUUCAUGUAGAAAUAACAUGACCGAGUUCCCUCUCGGCACAGGAAUCAGAAACUAAUCGUCCUUGUUUUUUUUUUUAUGGCCAAGUAGAGGAACUAUUAAUGGAGCAAUGUAAGUUGUACCGGUAUCGUGUUAUGGGUGCAGGAGGUCUGGAAGUGCAACAUGCAGGAUUUUCGCUUUUCUUCAACUUGCACUCGUCGUUGACUUGUGAAAUACUCGACAGGUUCUCGGUCAAGUUGUUUCUGUAUCCGGAGAAAGAGUAGCACGAUGGAACUUGGAGGGCACCGCAUUCGGUUGACUUGAACUAGCCAUGUUUUUCCAAGGGAGAAUUGAGCACGUCUGAUUGGAUAACUAGAGCUGUCAACAGCAAACCCACAUGAGAGGGCCGGGGGUAUGCCACUCGGGAGGAGGAGGAUAUG